rnacentral:lncRNA from 1 species
UUGCCUUUUUAAUUUUUUGGUAUGAUAAAUUCUUCAAUACUCUGUCAAGCUACUUCCCUCAUCAGUUACCAAACAUUAAACAUCCAUUACAUUUAAAGGUAGGAGCAAAAGUAAUACAUACACAAUAGAUUGCAAUGUAUGAGUGUUAAUGGUUUUAGGUUUAGAUUGAAAUAUAUAUUUAUACCCAUUUGUUGAGUUAAGGGAGACUUAAAGAUGGUUCUAGGUUUAGAUUGAUAGAAGGAUCUGAGAUCCUUCUUUUUUUUUUCCACAAAGAUCGCCAAUGUAUGUCUUUUGCUGCCCUUCAUUAUUAUUUCUCUUGUUGCCUUCAUCAUUAAUCACAACACCUUUAUUUUAUUGUUGCGACAUCUUCACGACAAGCACUUCUGUAGAACUCUUUUUAUUAGGCUCCAACAUUUUCUCUUUCACUUUAUGAUAGUACUACUUUGAUACACUUUUUGCUUUGUACUUUGAGUCAUGCUUGUUCAUAUUUUUGUCUGCCUCAUCAAGAACAACAUUUUCUUUUCCUUCCUGAACAAAAAUUAUAUUUCCUUUCAUUUUACUCUGGUGCUUCUCUGUUAAUAGUUUCUUUAAUUUUAAAUUAUUAUGCUUUGAUUAAAUUAUUUUAUUUUUUUUUGUAUAAAUUUAUUUUGAUUUCUAGAUAAUAAUACAACUUCUAAAAUUUGAAACUUGGUACGCAAUUCCUGUGGGAUGAUACUCUAUUCAUCACUUUAUUACUUGAAUGAUUUCAUGCACUUACAAAUUCGCCCAUCAUAUAUUGGGAAAGAGUUCUCCCAAAAAACGAUCAUGAAGUGGGUCUAAGUGAUAGGGGUCAACAAGGCAUCCUUCUUCAGUCGCCACCAAUUCUCAGAUUCACAUGUGAACAUAAAGGCAUUGAGAGGGACCUUUUGUUCCGUAGAGAGUUCCAAGGCAGAGAAGAGCUUCUCAAUCUGUAGAAUCCGAGCUUCUACAGCCAAAGGAUUGGGUCCACCAUCAAAAUAAAGAGGGUUUAGCUUCCAAAACUCAAAAAUGUUGUGAGAAAUUGUCCUAUCUAUGGGAUGAUAGUUAUGGGUAGGAGAGGUGUGGCAACCCAAGUGCUAAUUAAGGCAAAUGGGUGUCAGAUAUAGAUUCAGAAUAAUGAGUGCAUGAUAAAAUUUAUGCAGCGGAAAAAAAUCAUUACAAAUCCCUUAUAAAUAUAUAUGAGUUCCAAUACAUACAUAUACUGAGGCCAGAAAUGGCUACAAAUUAAAAAACAUAAGGACCAUUUCUUUCAUUGUGCUACUGGACUCAUCAGAGUGCGAGAACGGUCAUGCACUCAAACUUGUGGAUCCACGGGUUCCUCGUAGACUUUUAAGGGUAGGUUAGCCUACAGUUCCUCACUUUCUUUCUCAUUUGGGGGGAAGCAUAGAAAGAGUGAGUUGCAGAUGCUCAGUAAAGAAAACAGUAUUAAAUUAACAUCAUAAGAUUUCAAAAGUUAAUUGUUUUAUCUUACCUUUUAACUUCCUCGUUUACCUAUCUCGCAUUAUGGAAAACCAUUUAUUUGUUAAGAAAAUGAUAC